CACGUAGGGCGCAAGCGUUGUCCGGAAUUAUUGGGCGUAAAGAGCUCGUAGGUGGUUUGUUACGUCCGCUGUGAAAUCCUAGGGCUUAACCCUGGGCUUGCAGUGGAUACGGGCAGACUAGAGGUAGGUAGGGGAGAAUGGAAUUCCCGGUGUAGCAGUGAAAUGCGUAGAGAUCGUAAGGAAGGCCAGUGGCGAAGGCGAGUUCCUGGACAGUUACUGACGCUGAGGCACGAAGGCCAGGGGAGCAAACGGG
rnacentral:rRNA from 1 species